rnacentral:rRNA from 1 species
AUUGAACGCUGGCGGCGUGCCUAACACAUGCAAGUCGAGCGGUAACAGGUGUAGCAAUACAUGCUGACGAGCGGCGGACGGGUGAGUAACGCUUGGGAAUCUGCCUGCUAGUGGGGGACAACCCGGGGAAACUCGGGCUAAUACCGCAUACGCACUACGGUGGAAAGCCGGGGACCGCAAGGCCUGGCGCUAACAGAUGAGCCCAAGUCGGAUUAGCUAGUUGGUAGGGUAACGGCCUACCAAGGCGACGAUCCGUAACUGGUCUGAGAGGACGACCAGUCACACCGGAACUGAGACACGGUCCGGACUCCUACGGGAGGCAGCAGUGGGGAAUAUUGGACAAUGGGCGAAAGCCUGAUCCAGCGACGCCGCGUGGGUGAAGAAGGCCUGCGGGUUGUAAAGCCCUUUCGGUGGGAAGAAAGACNC